GACGAACGCUGGCGGCGUGCCUAAUACAUGCAAGUGGAACGCACGAGGUACACCGUAGUUUACUACACCGUACUUUGUGAGUCGCGAACGGGUGAGUAACGCGUAGGUAACCUACCUUUUAGCGGGGGAUAACUAUUGGAAACGAUAGCUAAUACCGCAUAAGAUAUCUUACUGCAUGGUAAGAUAUUAAAAGAUGCAAUUGCAUCACUAAGAGAUGGACCUGCGUUGUAUUAGCUAGUAGGUGAGGUAACGGCUCACCUAGGCAACGAUACAUAGCCGACCUGAGAGGGUGAUCGGCCACACUGGGACUGAGACACGGCCCAGACUCCUACGGGAGGCAGCAGUAGGGAAUCUUCGGCAAUGGGGGGAACCCUGACCGAGCAACGCCGCGUGAGUGAAGAAGGUUUUCGGAUCGUAAAGCUCUGUUGUAAGAGAAGAACGAGUGUGAGAGUGGAA
rnacentral:rRNA from 1 species